rnacentral:tRNA from 1 species
GCAUCCUUAGCUCAGUUGGUAGAGCGUUAGACUUUUAAUCUAACGGUAAAGGGUUCGAGUACCCUACGGGGCU